rnacentral:rRNA from 1 species
UGAGCCAGUCCAGGAUGGACCCGCGUCUGAUUACCUAGUGGGGAAGGUCACGGCUUACCCAGGCGACGAUCAGUAGCCGACCUGAGGGGAUGAUCGGCACCACAGGAACUGAGACACGGUCCAAACUCCUACGUGCGGCAGCAGUGGGGAAUAUUGCCCAAUGCGCGAAAGCCUGAUGCAGCACCGCCGCGUGAGUGAUGAAGGCCUUCGGGUCGUCCAACUCUGUCCUCAAGGAAGAUAAUGACGGUACUUGAGGAGGAGGCCCCGGCUAACUACGUGCCCGCAGCCGCGGUAAUACGUAGCGGGCGAGCGUUAUCCGGCUUUACUGGGCGUACAGGGUGCGUAGGCGGUCUUUCCAGUCAGGAGUGAAAGGCUACGGCCCAACCGUAGUAAGCUCUUGAAACUGGGAGACUUGCGUGCAGGAGAGGAGAGUGGAGUU